GACGAACGCUGGCGGCGUGCUUAACACAUGCAAGUCGAACGGAAAGGCCCCGUUUGGGGUACGCGAGUGGGGAGCGGGUGGGUAACACGCGAGUAACCUGCCCUUGACUUCGGGAUAAAUUCCGGAAACUGGGGCUAAUAACGGCUAGAAAUCCGUGCUGGAUGGUGGGGGUUGGUAGGAUUCGGCGGUUUUGGAUGGACUCGCGGCUUAUCAGCUUGUUGGUGGGGUAGUGGCUUACCAAGGCUUUGACGGGUAGCCGGCCUGAGAGGGCGAACGGCCACCCUGGGACCGAGGUUAGGCCCCGACUCCGACGGGAGGACGGCGGGGGGAAUUUUGCACCAGGGGCGGGAGCCCUGUGCAGAAACGCCGCGGGCGGGAAUGCGGCCUUCGGGUUGUAAAACGGCUUUAGCAUGGGACAAGCUUGUGGUGACGGUACCGGCAGAAGAAGCACCGGCUAACUACGUG
rnacentral:rRNA from 1 species